GAUGAAGAACGUAGUGAAAUGCGAUAAGUAAUGUGAAUUGCAGAAUUCAGUGAAUCAUCGAAUCUUUGAACGCACAUUGCGCCCGCCAGUAUUCUGGCGGGCAUGCCUGUUCGAGCGUCAUUUCAACCAUCAAGCCCCCGGCUUGUGUUGGGGACCUGCGGCUGCCGCAGGCCCUGAAAAGCAGUGGCGGGCUCGCUGUCACACCGAGCGUAGUAGCAUACAUCUCGGUCUGGGCGUGCUGCGGGUUCCGGCCGUUAAACCACCUUCAUAACCCAAGGUUGACCUCGGAUCAGGUAGGAAGACCCGCUGAACUUAAGCAUAUCAAUAAGCGGAGGA
rnacentral:misc_RNA from 1 species